AGUGGCUUGGGUGCUCAGGUAGCUCAUACGAGAGGGAUUGCCAACUGGAUAAGAGCGGCGUGGCGGUCUCGACCAUUGGUCAAAGGCCAUGUGACCUAGCCGCCCGCAGCUGCAGCCGCCUCCUCUCCUCUUCCUCGUUCUCCUGCCGCCGCCGCCUCCUCCUCUCCUCUCCCCGAAUUCUCCUACCUCAGUCGUCGUUGUCGCCGCCGCCGCCGUCGACCUAGACGUCACCGGCUGAGACCGCUGUGGUAUGGAUAAGGAGACGAGAGGAAGAGGACAUCCUUCCCUGACAGCGCCCUGACCUGCCAGGUCUUCCUCCUCGUCGGCCUAGGUCUGGUUCUGCUGGAUUAGAUGGACAGAAGUGGUGGAUCCGAUGGUUGCCGAAAUCCCUCAUCGUCGGAGGAAGGCGUGCGACCGACAAAGAAAUAGGCUGAUGGAGCAGGAUGGGGUGGCGGUUCAAGUUCGGCGGCCUUCGCGUGUUGUGGUUGGCGGCGCUCCACUUCCCUUCUCCCUUGCCCAGUACGGUGGUCUGCAGAUUAUCCUUCAAAGGAGGCCACAAAGAGCAGCGAUGGCUUCUUGGUAAUCUGCAAUUGGCCACAAAGGAUGAGGUACAUGGAGAUUGCCAGCUACCUUCCAUUGGUGUAUAUGCAAGCUACAGAGAAAACCAAAUAUGCACCAUGCCGAUAUGCUUCAUGACGAGUGUGCUUUUGUCAUCCCUCACCCUCUCAGAUGGCCAUUAGGUGCUAACCAAGAGGUGCACGCCAUGAAUCAAACUACCGAGGGGGCAUACAGUAAUAAGGAGGGAGUGGCUAUCGCAGCGAAGCUACCCUCCCCCUCAAUCAUGCACUGCUUUUCAAACGCAGUUUGCCACUGCUGUUUAAUUAGCUUCUGCAUUAGCAGCGGAUUCAGAGUUUAUUCUUCAGCGGAUUCAAUUUGCAGGAGACUCCUGUUGCAGUUUGGUGACAUAGAUCAGUGUCAAGUCGCUUAACAAAUGCAGCUAGGUUCCAUUCAGUUAGCCAAAGCCAUUGUGCAUUAAAAUUGUAGAUGUGCAUGAGAGUGUGAAAAUCAUUAUGGCACGUCUAUGAGCAUGCUAUACUCCCAUGCUACUUUCAGUUAUUGACCACUAGCUUUAUUACAGCACCCAGGAUUUCAGGGUUUGCUUUACUUAGGUUAGUAUGUACUUUACCACAGAUGAAUUGGUUAUAUCUCAUUUUAAUAUACUUCAUUAGUAAUUACUAAAUAAUCUAAAGCGAGUUCUAUGGCAAAUUUUGUUUGGGUCUACUUUUUUGGAUCAUUUCCAUAUCUACAUUUCUUACAUAUAAAGGUAUGCUGCAAAAAUUAAGGGUCUGGAUGGUAAUUUAUGGCUGUUUCAGUUGCUGACCAUGUGAUUAUGGUAGUCUACAAUUUGCUUACGGGUUCUUCAUUGCUUGAUUUUUAUCUCGGACAAAAGAGGGCCAGCCACACCUUUGAAAUAAGCAGCGGCCAUCCAGUCCAGAACAGACUGAAUCUGCUCGACAAAGUGUGAAAAUGCAAUUACUGCUUGGAAAAGUGUAAAAAGGCCAGGGUAUCAUUUAUGUAGUUAUUUGGAAUGCAAGGUUAGGAAAUCCAAGAAAUAAGAUGAGAAGAGGAAUCUAGCAAAGGAAGGUGAAUCUUUUCUCUUGUGAAUACAACAAGAGUACAUCUCCUUCUUCUAUAUUCCAAUAUAUCAAUAAAACAAGAGAUCUAUAAUAUCAUUGUUUAUGGAGUUCACAGAUUAUUGAAGAUUUUUGCUGCCAUGGAAUUGUGAGUUUGUGACUAUACAUUCUUGUGUCUUGAAGAUGUAUUGUCUCUGUAUGUGAAUGUCAAUAUCCAGGUAUGUAAGCAAGUCCUAACUUUUAUUCACAUAUUUAUCUAUGAAAUGCAUGCAAGCAAAUCACAUCUUACAGACAAAUGCCCCCUUAUAGGUAAAUGUGAUGAUUCAUAAAUUAACCAGUUGGAGAUAUGUAGAUAGUCAGGUGUACUGAUAACUGGAGUUUAGUGCUCAAAAUCCUUCUACCUUUUCUACUGACUGUAUUUUCUUGACGUCUUUAAGAGAAGAAUGAGUACUAUUAGUCAUUCUCUAUCAUGUAUAAUAGUACAAUACUGGAGAUGUGAAUGGAUAAUGUUCAUUUAGUAUAGUAUUAGUAGAUGAUGUUUUUUUUCUUCAGUCAACUCGUGUAUUUCCUGAUAUGUUCAGUCUAUUCCCAAAUUAGUUCGUAAAGUAGCCUUAACAAUUAUACAGUCUCUUUGUGUAUUAGUACUCUGUUUUCUUUGGUUUUGGUCAGCUGGAAGAAUCAGUUUGUCAUAACAUGUGAAAAUGAUUUUAUUUACUUACGCUGUUGCUUUUAUCAGUUAGCAAAGAUGUUUGUCAAAUGUAGUAAGUUAGGCAUCGCAGUGAAGCUUAGCAAAGGGACUUCUGGUGAGGCCUACAAGGCUGGAAGCACUGUAUGUAAGGUGGUACCCUUUGAUGGAUAUUCAUUUGUCAACUAAUACAUGACCACACUAGAGAAGCACACGCCGCGCACACACAAGGAUCCUAUCAGGUUCUAAAUAUGUACGUGGAUGUGGAUGAUCUUUAAAUACCUGGAUGAUUAUUCCACAUAAACAAAGUCAUAUUGUCAUUUUUAACACAAGAACAAAGCAGUGUCCCAUGACACAAAUAGCUACUGCAUGUGUUGAGUAGAAAAUUCAUUCAUUAGUUAUGGGGCAUCAAGAAGAGCAAACACCAAUGCGGUGAGACAUACCUGUUCCAUAUAAACAUGCGGAAAGUUGUAAAUCCUUUCACCUUGGCGAGGCACUGUGAUCAACGGCCUAGCUCAAGCAUGCCAUAGCUCCUUGUAUAAUGCGUCGCUAGAACUCCCUGCACAAAGGAUUCAUUAUGUGAACUAACAUGGCAAGUUUACUUUGUAGCAUGGUAAAUUUAGUUUUAUAGCAUUUUAACCUGACAUAUCGAUAUCUUAUUGCUCUUCAAAGGUAUCUAAAAGUUGUGUUCUCUGCAAACAGAUGGGUGAUGUUAGUCAAUAGAAUACCUAAGAUGUCAGUUUUGUUGCCAAAUAUUGUAAUCCCAGAUUUACAGAGUUCUAGAAUAGAAGAUGAUCUGGUGGUUACCUCUCUAUUAUUUACUCGAAUGACUGUACUUAUAUCUUACGUUCAAACUUUACCCGAUCUUGGUUUAGUUUCCAUCUCCAAUCAGAUUAAUGGUUUGCAGACCAAAGCCAAUGUUUUAUGGAGUUCUUAUUCCUAAUUUAGUUAUACAUUUCAUUUGUAGUUUCUUGGUAGAUAAUAAGCAGUGGCAGAUGAACCAAUAAGUUAUCUGUGCCCAUGCUUUAUUGUAAGCGUUAAAUUUGCUCUCUGGUAUUACUUUCAAUGUGUUAUCCAUACCCAUGCUUUUUGCGGUUAAUUAUCAUGUCUUAUCAACUUAUGCAGAGUCCAUGAUAUCAUACAGUUUGAAGUCAAAAAAUUCAUGAUAUGGGUGAUAUGGAAAAGUCAUUGCCUUCUUUGCUGGAACAUUCCCUGAUUGCCUGGACUUCUUGGGUCAAUCGCUGGACGCCACCCCCGUCUCCUGGACGUCAUGACGCCGCCGAUUUCCUUGACGCCGCGUGCCACCGAUCUUCUAUAACUCAAUUUCUCCAAUUUCUCUCGGCUGUGAGCUCAUAUAUAUUUUUGAGUUGUGAACUUAUUAUGUAAACUCAACACUUUGUUUCGUGACAAGUGAACUCAUUUCAUAUUCAUAUAUCAAUCAUGGUUGAAGUGUCUAUA